rnacentral:rRNA from 1 species
UACACUCCUACGGGAGGCAGCAGUAGGGAAUCUUCGGCAAUGGGGGCAACCCUGACCGAGCAACGCCGCGUGAGUGAAGAAGGUUUUCGGAUCGUAAAGCUCUGUUGUAAGUCAAGAACGAGUGUGAGAGUGGAAAGUUCACACUGUGACGGUAGCUUACCAGAAAGGGACGGCUAACUACGUGCCAGCAGCCGCGGUAAUACGUAGGUCCCGAGCGUUGUCCGGAUUUAUUGGGCGUAAAGCGAGCGCAGGCGGUUUGAUAAGUCUGAAGUUAAAGGCUGUGGCUCAACCAUAGUUCGCUUUGGAAACUGUCAAACUUGAGUGCAGAAGGGGAGAGUGGAAUUCCAUGUGUAGCGGUGAAAUGCGUAGAUAUAUGGAGGAACACCGGUGGCGAAAGCGGCUCUCUGGUCUGUAACUGACGCUGAGGCUCGAAAGCGUGGGGAGCGAACAGGAUUAGAAACCCUAGUAGUCCCAUG